rnacentral:rRNA from 1 species
UACGUAGGGGGCUAGCGUUGUCCGGAAUUAUUGGGCGUAAAGAGCUUGUAGGCGGUUUGUCGCGUCUGCUGUGAAAUUUCGGGGCUCAACCCCGAACUUGCAGUGGGUACGGGCAGACUAGAGUGUGGUAGGGGAGACUGGAAUUCCUGGUGUAGCGGUGAAAUGCGCAGAUAUCAGGAGGAACACCGAUGGCGAAGGCAGGUCUCUGGGGCCACUACUGACGCUGAGAAGCGAAAGCAUGGGGAGCGAACAGG